rnacentral:lncRNA from 1 species
UUUCAGGUAUGGCUGAAAAAGCUGGAAUUUGCACGGAGGAGAACGUCGCUAUUGGAGAAGACGAUCCGCACACAUAUAAGGGACUUGUAACGAUGGCACAUGAACUUGGGCAUUCUCUGGGCUCCGAUCAUGACAGCUGUGAAGGUGCCAAGGACUGUCCUGCUAGAUAUGGAAACUUAAUGACUAACAUAGAUAAAGGCAUGCGAAAUAAAUCAAGACUGUCGGAGUGCAGCCAACGACAAAUACGUACUUUAGUAAGGCGACUGGAACCAUCAUGUAUAAACGUCAGCACAGUAGCCAACUACACAAACGAAGGGUAUCCUGGAGAAAACAUUACUCACGAUGACUUUUGUAGGUUGAUGCACCCAGAAACAGAAAACAUACAGGCCUCCACAGUAAGU